rnacentral:tRNA from 1 species
GAUUUAUUAACUAUACAAGUAAUGUAUUUUGAAAAUAUAAAAAAGAGUUAUACUCUAUAAAUCU